rnacentral:rRNA from 2 species
CUUUGGGUGACGAGCGGCGGACGGGUGAGUAAUGUCUGGGAAACUGCCUGAUGCAGGGGGAUAACUACUGGAAACGGUAGCUAAUACCGCAUAACGUCUUCGGACCAAAGUGGGGGACCUUCGGGCCUCACGCCAUCAGAUGUGCCCAGAUGGGAUUAGCUAGUAGGUGGGGUAAUGGCUCACCUAGGCGACGAUCCCUAGCUGGUCUGAGAGGAUGACCAGCCACACUGGAACUGAGACACGGUCCAGACUCCUACGGCAGGCAGCAGUGGGGAAUAUUGCACAAUGGGCGCAAGCUUGAUGCAGCCAUGCCGCGUGUGUGAAGAAGGCCUUCGGGUUGUAAAGCACUUUAAGCGAGAAGGAGGGCUGAUGUGUUAAUAGCACAUCACAUUGACA